UACGUAGGGUGCGAGCGUUAAUCGGAAUUACUGGGCGUAAAGCGUGCGUAGGCGGUUCGUUAAGUUCGUUGUGAAAGCCCCGGGCUCAACCUGGGAACUGCAAUGGAAACUGGCGGGCUUGAGUGUGGCAGAGGGGGGUGGAAUUCCGCGUGUAGCAGUGAAAUGCGUAGAGAUGCGGAGGAACACCGAUGGCGAAGGCAGCCCCCUGGGCCAACACCGACGCUGAGGAGCGAAAGCCAGGGGAGCAAACGGG
rnacentral:rRNA from 1 species